rnacentral:rRNA from 1 species
UACGUAGGGUGCGAGCGUUAAUCGGAAUUACUGGGCGUAAAGGGUGCGCAGGCGGUCCCGUAAGCUGGGGGUGAAAGCCCCGGGCUUAACCUGGGAAUGGCAUUCAGGACUGCGAGGCUUUGAGUGCGGCAGAGGGAGGUGGAAUUCCACGUGUAGCAGUGAAAUGCGUAGAGAUGUGGAGGAACACCGAUGGCGAAGGCAGCCUCCUGGGCCAGCACUGACGCUCAUGCACGAAAGCGUGGGGAGCAAACAGG